UGAAAGGCAUGGAAAAGAACGAGUAGCUUUAAUCGAACUGACAGAGAGUAGCCGGUUGCUGAGAGGCGCAAGGGAUAUUAAAGUGAAUACAUCUUGGAGCUGCGUACCGAAAUUUUAGUAGGCUACGACGGGGUUGCAUCCGUAAUCAUUGCAAAAGUAUCGCUAUGGCUGUACUUAUUGAGGAGGGCUGUGUGAAUAGCUCUCGAAAAAAGGUGGUAACACGUUCAUGAACGUCCUUAGG
rnacentral:ncRNA from 1 species